rnacentral:rRNA from 1 species
AGGAUGAACGCUGGCGGCGUGCUUAAUACAUGCAAGUCGAGCGGCAGCAUGCACUUCGGUGUGAUGGCGAGCGGCGGACGGCUGAGUAACGCGUAGGAAUGUACCCCAAAGUGAGGGAUAAGCACCAGAAAUGGUGUCUAAUACCGCAUGUGAUCUAAGGAUUAAAGCUUUAUGCGCUUUGGGAACGGCCUGCGUACGAUUAGCUUGUUGGUAAGGUAAUGGCUUACCAAGGCGAUGAUCGUUAGCUGGUCUGAGAGGAUGAUCAGCCAGACUGGGACUGAGACACGGCCCAGACUCCUACGGGAGGCAGCAGUAGGGAAUUUUCCACAAUGGGCGAAAGCCUGAUGGAGCAACGCCGCGUGCAGGAUGAAGGCCCUUGGGUCGUAAACUGCUUUCUCUGUGAGGAAUAUGACAGUAGCAGAGGAAUAAGGAUCGGCUAACUCCGUGCCAGCAGCCG